AUUAGUUAAGCAGCUUGUAUACCACUAUUUAAGUAAUAAUUUAUUAUUAUUACUAGAAUUUAUUGAAAUAGAAAAAGUUAAGUCAAGGUGCAGCAUAAGUUUUAGAAUGAAGUGAAUUACAUUUCUUAAAAGAGAAUAAAAUGAAAAGGAAAUUUAGGAUUUGAAAGUAAAAUUUUAAUAAAAUGAAAAUUUGAAUUUAGCUCUAAAAUAUGUACAUAUCGCCCGUCACUCUUUAUUAAAGAUAAGUCGUAACAAAGUUAAAGUACUGGAAAGUGCUUU
rnacentral:rRNA from 1 species